CAAAAUAUUUCAUUUUCCCACGUCCUUUUUUUUCGAGAACCAUUUUCCCACAUCCUUAACGUGAAAUAUUUCAUUUACCCGCCCUAUUUUGCGCCAAAAAAUCCUUUAAAAAAAUGAAGGAGGAGCGGUUUCGCGUAGAAGAUGAGACCAGCCACCAUGAAGUACUAUCUAGCAUCAUACACACAAGCCCUAGAAUCAUCACUUCGAGCAUAUUGUCUCAUCAAAUUCACCCAGAACACACCAAUCAAACCCGAAGCUAAUCCCGCAAACCAUCCCAAAUUAGCAAAUUCCCAUUACAUGAAUCCCCUGUUCCACUAAAACCAAAAAAAACAAUCCCCUGGGGAGAAAGUUCUAGCAGAUUGGACAUGAGAAUGGAGCGACGAAGAUGAAGAUUUAGAAUAAAAUAUUAUGGAGAAAUAUUUUUAGGCAACUUAGGCGUUGGGAAAAUGUUUGGAGGCGUAUUCCGGUUAUUGCGCAGCGCUAGAGGCAGUGGCGGCAACGGUGAAGCAGUCGUUGGCAGAGAAGAUGGAAUGGAUAGUGAGAAAGCUAACACUAUAAGGUCAAAACAUUGAGUCACGGAGCAGCGUACAAGGAGUAAGAUCAAUGAGAGGAAAAGACAAUCUUGAAGAAAUUGAGGUUUCGUCUUAACUAGCCAACUCCUUAUAUUUUGAUGCUCGGAUUUCUCAAGGCUUCUCAAUUUGAAACAAAGAACAUACACAUAUACAAUAUGGAAAAGUAUACGUUUCAAGCUUUGGAAUAAAUGAUGGAGUUGUCGAUAUGAAGUUAACCAAAAGUGCUUGAAAGAGGAGUUCUGGGAGUUUGAAAGAAAAUCAAAAGUGUUUGAUCAAUUGUAUAAUUAUUUAGACAUGUAGAGCUUUUUGUAGUUGUCAUAUAAAUAUUGUGUACUUUCACAUUAUUAAAUAUUAUUAAUGAAAUAAUUAUUUUAA